UUAACCUUGAGAGAAUAUUGAGUUAGCAGUGACUUUAAUCUACGAGUGAGAUCAUAAGUUGGUCAUAUAUUCCUUAUGGAUUGAGUCACUAUUGAUGGAAGCCUAUGCUAGUAGGUAUUCUUAAUACAGGCACCAUGAUAUCUCUUGGGAUUGAGACAAUGUGUCCCCUUGGGUGAUCCUAAGGAGGUAUGCUCAUGAACACUAUGGUCAUAGUAGUUCCUUAAGUGGAACUUGACAUAGGCUCUUUGAGAGUUAAGAUAUGUCAAUUAAACACACAAUAUAA
rnacentral:lncRNA from 1 species